rnacentral:tRNA from 1 species
GGCAUGUAGCUCAGUGGUGCAGCGCCUGCCUGGCAAGCAGGAGGUUCUGAGUUCGAUCCCCGGUACCA